rnacentral:rRNA from 1 species
CUGUUUACCAAAAACAUCGCCUCUUGCAAAUCAAAGCAUAAGAGGUCCCGCCUGCCCUGUGACUAUGGGUUUAACGGCCGCGGUAUUUUGACCGUGCGAAGGUAGCGCAAUCACUUGUCUUUUAAAUGAAGACCUGUAUGAAUGGCAUCACGAGGGCUUAGCUGUCUCCUCUCCCAAGUCAAUGAAAUUGAUCUGCCCGUGCAGAAGCGGGCAUAAGUACAUAAGACGAGAAGACCCUAUGGAGCUUUAGACACCAGGCAGAUCACGUCAAGUAAACUUAAAUUAACAAGUAAAAACGCAGUGACCCCUAGCCCAUAUGUCUUUGGUUGGGGCGACCGCGGGGGAAAAUAAAGCCCCCAUGUGGACUGGGGGCACUGCCCCCACAGCCGAGAGCUACAGCUCUAAGCACCAGAAUUUCUGACCAAAAAUGAUCCGGCGAACGCCGAUCAACGGACCGAGUUACCCUAGGGAUAACAGCGCAAUCCUCUCCCAGAGUCCCUAUCGACGAGGGGGUUUACGACCUCGAUGUUGGAUCAGGACAUCCUAAUGGUGCAGCCGCUAUUAAGGGUUCGUUUGUUCAACGAUUAAAGUCCUACGUGAUCUGAGUUCAGA